AGUGAACGCUGGCGGUAGGCCUAACACAUGCAAGUCGAACGGCAGCACAGUAAGAGCUUGCUCUUACGGGUGGCGAGUGGCGGACGGGUGAGGAAUACAUCGGAAUCUACUUUUUCGUGGGGGAUAACGUAGGGAAACUUACGCUAAUACCGCAUACGACCUACGGGUGAAAGCAGGGGAUCUUCGGACCUUGCGCGAUUGAAUGAGCCGAUGUCGGAUUAGCUAGUUGGCGGGGUAAAGGCCCACCAAGGCGACGAUCCGUAGCUGGUCUGAGAGGAUGAACCGCCACACUGGAACUGAGACACGGUCCAGACUCCUACGGGAGGCAGCAGUGGGGAAUAUUGGACAAUGGGCGCAAGCCUGAUCCAGCCAUACUGCGUGGGUGAAGAAGGCCUUCGGGUUGUAAAGCCCUUUUGUUGGGAAAGAAAAGCAGCAGGUUAAUACCCCGCUGUUCUGACGGUACCCAAAGAAUAAGCACCGGCUAACUUCGUG
rnacentral:rRNA from 1 species